rnacentral:rRNA from 1 species
AACGAACGCUGGCGGCAGGCUUAAUACAUGCAAGUCGAACGCUCCAGCAAUGGAGAGUGGCAGACGGGUGAGUAACGCGUGGGAAUCUACCUGAUACUACGGAAUAGCUCCGGGAAACUGGAAUUAAUACCGUAUGUGCCCUAAGGGGGAAAGAUUUAUCGGUAUCAGAUGAGCCCGCGUUGGAUUAGCUAGUUGGUGGGGUAAUGGCCUACCAAGGCGACGAUCCAUAGCUGGUCUGAGAGGAUGAUCAGCCACACUGGGACUGAGACACGGCCCAGACUCCUACGGGAGGCAGCAGUAGGGAAUAUUGGACAAUGGGCGAAAGCCUGAUCCAGCCAUGCCGCGUGAGUGAUGAAGGCCUUAGGGUUGUAAAGCUCUUUCAGUGGGGAAGAUAAUGACGGUACCCACAGAAGAAGCCCCGGCUAACUUCGUGCCAGCAGCCGCCGUAAUAC